GACGAACGCUGGCGGCGUGCUUAACACAUGCAAGUCGAACGGAAAGGCCCUGCUUUUGUGGGGUGCUCGAGUGGCGAACGGGUGAGUAACACGUGAGUAACCUGCCCUUGACUUUGGGAUAACUUCAGGAAACUGGGGCUAAUACCGGAUAGGAGCUCCUGCUGCAUGGUGGGGGUUGGAAAGUUUCGGCGGUUGGGGAUGGACUCGCGGCUUAUCAGCUUGUUGGUGGGGUAGUGGCUUACCAAGGCUUUGACGGGUAGCCGGCCUGAGAGGGUGACCGGCCACAUUGGGACUGAGAUACGGCCCCAGACUCCUACGGGAGGCAGCAGUGGGGAAUAUUGCACAAUGGGCGGAAGCCUGAUGCAGCAACGCCGCGUGCGGGAUGACGGCCUUCGGGUUGUAAACCGCUUUCGCCUGUGACGAAGCGUGAGUGACGGUAAUGGGUAAAGAAGCACCGGCUAACUACGUG
rnacentral:rRNA from 1 species